rnacentral:rRNA from 1 species
CCUACGGGUGGCAGCAGUGGGGAAUAUUGCGCAAUGGGCGAAAGCCUGACGCAGCGACGCCGCGUGAGGGAUGAAGGUCUUCGGAUCGUAAACCUCUGUCAGCAGGGAAGAACGGUCACUGUGCUAAUCAGCAGUGAAUUGACGGGACCUGCAAAGGAAGCACCGGCUAACGCCGUGCCAGCAGCCGCGGUAAUACGGAGGGUGCGGGCGUUAAUCGGAAUUACUGGGCGUAAAGCGCUCGUAGGCGGUAUGUCCAGUCAAGGGUGAAAUCCCCGCGCUCAACCUGGGAACUGCCUUUGAAACUGGCAAACUGGGGUGUGUGAGAGGAUAGUGGAAUUCGAGGUGUAGGAGUGAAAUCCGUAGAUAUCUGGAGGAACAUCAGUGGCGAAGGCGACUAUCUGGCACAUAACUGACGCUGAGGAGCGAAAGCGUGGGUAGCGAACAGGAUUAGAUACCCCUGUAGUC